rnacentral:sRNA from 1 species
UUAGUCAUCGUCGUUUUGGUCUCUGGGGCGUCGCAUGUAAAUCUAUUUUAUGGGUCGCCGUUGUUUGCCGUGAAGUCAAAAGUUAUGCAAGCAGCGAGGAUUGCGUGUGCCCUGCACCUAAAUCGCCAAUGAAAACCACAAGCUAAGUGGAAACUCAAAGCCUGAGAGGAUUGUGGGAGCAGAGGGUGGCACAUGUGGCGUGUGGAGUAUACUAGUAUAUAUAGUAUCUGCGUGCCGAAGAUGAAAGCGUUUUAAUUUUUAACGAGCCUGCUUGCCAGAUUCCAACCCGUGUUCUGGGAUCAUCUUUUCGUACUGUUUUGCAUUUGCAAUAACCAGGCAUGACAUUUUUGGCCGCACUUGAUGGAAACAGAACGCUUGAGUUACCCACCAGCCAGAAGCCUCAGGAAUUGAACUAAUCCAGCCAAGCGCUGUCCAUAAAGUGCUGUCCAAGCAGCAUUGAGGUUUUCGGUACGGGAGUGGAGGGACUGGACGCAUCAGUGAGAAAAUUAAAGUAUUAUCCCAGGAGACUCGAUUGCGUGCCACAUUCGAACCCCUUGACCAGCAACCAACUACUGAUAUAUUUAUAUAUAUGGAGCAAUGGUUAUAGUCUUACCUUCAUCCACGGGGGUGGAGUAUGUCAUCCCCAAACCAAACCGAACCAAACCGUACCGUACCGUACCGUACCGGUACAUGCGAAAUAAAUGUCAUGAAACAACUCAUUGACAGGCACAUAAGGACACUGGUUUUAUGGUCCACAGAUAUGACCAAAAUAUAUGAUUACCAUGUGUCCAGCAGCAUGCGAGCUCGUAAAUAGGCAUUUUCUCUGCUUUAGUUCUCUUUCGGACACAACAGCAGCAACAACAACAGCAACAGCAAACACUCACCCCAACCACUCAUCCCCCAACUCACCCCCAUAUUCCAUACGAUGCUCGUCCUGGCCGUUUGGUGACUACUUUUUCUUGAUUUUUGUUGCCUUUCGCUUGGUUAUUUACCAAGUGAUCCAGGUGGGACACAAGCCCGGCAAUGCACUGUCACAGUCUUGGCCAGUCGUAAAAAUCAAAAUAAAAUGAAACUUAUGCGUGAUGUUUGCCCUUUCACAUUCGGUUUUCGCAGUAACCUCUUCAAUAGCUUGUUGCUAUUGCGUGUUUGGGUCACUUGUUCCUAUUACUAAUGACACAAUCUAUAGUUAAAUAGAAUGCGUAAUUUCUGUAUAAAAUGUCGACUUUUAUAGCAUUAGUUAGC